ACAUUCAAAGAAUUUAGAAGAUGAUGGGGGGACCCAGGCCAUCUCAGGCCUAUGAAUAGUUCCGCCCCUGCUACUCAUAGGUACCACUCAAAGUACCCAAGCACAAUAUAUGAUGGUCAACUCACGGGUACACCAUGGUACACCUCUCCCAACCCCGUGGUUUUCCCGAUUCUCCCACAUUACCUCUAAAUAAUCAUACAUAAUCUUAUGCUAAUUGGCACGACUACCAAUUCUGUUAGGGGAACUUAUUAUGGGAGAAAUCAUUUGCACUCAAAGAACCGUCUCAAGAUGGCAAUGCUCAAGAAUAACACAACACUUGAGCUUCCCUAAGUAAAAUGCAACAACUGAAAAUGAGUGGUGUUCCUUUUCAGACUUGUAAGGUUCUCAUAUAACGUGAAAUAUGAUAAACAAUAUAACAUGAACUGAUGGCAAGCACAAAAUACCCAAAAAAAAAGAGAAAAAAGAAAAAGAAAAAACUUAACAAAGUUGGGGCUAAACUAAAAAUUCCACCCUCCAAAAUACAACUAUUCAUGUAUUGCUCGAAUUUAAACAGUUUUUUCCUCCAACCAUGCACACUCAUAAUUUGAGUCCGCAUCUUUAUUAAAUUGUUUUAAAAUGGUUAACCC
rnacentral:lncRNA from 1 species